rnacentral:rRNA from 1 species
GAUGAACGCUGGCGGCGUGCCUAAUACAUGCAAGUCGAGCGAACGGACGAGAAGCUUGCUUCUCUGAUGUUAGCGGCGGACGGGUGAGUAACACGUGGAUAACCUACCUAUAAGACUGGGAUAACUUCGGGAAACCGGAGCUAAUACCGGAUAAUAUUUUGAACCGCAUGGUUCAAAAGUGAAAGACGGUCUUGCUGUCACUUAUAGAUGGAUCCGCGCUGCAUUAGCUAGUUGGUAAGGUAACGGCUUACCAAGGCAACGAUGCAUAGCCGACCUGAGAGGGUGAUCGGCCACACUGGAGCUGAGACACGGUCCAGACUCCUACGGGAGGCAGCAGUAGGGAAUCUUCCGCAAUGGGCGAAAGCCUGACGGAGCAACGCCGCGUGAGUGAUGAAGGUCUUCGGAUUGUAAAACUCUGUUAUUAGGGAAGAACAUAUGUGUAAGUAACUGUGCACAUCUUGACGGUACCUAAUCAGAAAGCCACGGCUAACUACGUG